rnacentral:rRNA from 1 species
GAUGAACGCUGGCGGCGUGCCUAAUACAUGCAAGUCGAGCGAACGGACGAGAAGCUUGCUUCUCUGAUGUUAGCGGCGGACGGGUGAGUAACACGUGGAUAACCUACCUAUAAGACUGGGAUAACUUCGGGAAACCGGAGCUAAUACCGGAUAAUAUUUUGAACCGCAUGGUUCAAAAGUGAAAGACGGUCUUGCUGUCACUUAUAGAUGGAUCCGCGCUGCAUUAGCUAGUUGGUAAGGUAACGGCUUACCAAGGCAACGAUGCAUAGCCGACCUGAGAGGGUGAUCGGCCACACUGGAACUGAGCCACGGUCCAGACUCCUACGGGAGGCAGCAGUAGGGAAUCUUCCGCAAUGGGCGAAAGCCUGACGGAGCAACGCCGCGUGAGUGAUGAAGGUCUUCGGAUCGUAAAACUCUGUUAUUAGGGAAGAACAUAUGUGUAAGUAACUGUGCACAUCUUGACGGUACCUACUCAGAAAGCCACGGCUAACUACGUG